AAAUGGAUGGAAUCUUCAGGAUGGUGGACCAGAUUUAGUCUUGAGCCCAAAAUAAGGAUGAAACAUUGUCGAGCUUGCUGAUAAGAGCUCUACGAUAAAAUCUCGGGAUAGAAAGACAGCAAUGUAGUAUAUAACUUUUGUUAAAUUUGCAUUGGCAAGUUGACAUGUUCAUUCAUAAGAUUAGGUUUUGUUUACAGUGACUCAUUUAAUGAGAUGACUUGUUUAGUUUUGUGUUAAGGAGUAAUACACAACGGAAUUGACUGAACAAAUACACGGGUAUGAUGUUUUCAGAACGUUUUAUUUAAUUCAUUUUAACGUUUGGUAUAAAAUGUAUCAUUUUUGGGGUGUGACCAAAAAUAAGGGUCUGAAAUUUUCUUCAUGCUGUUUAAAAUACAUUUAAUGCUUUAAGAUAAAUUCCAUGUUUAAAAUCAACUCCACGGUGUUAAGUCAAAAAAUGUAAAAAAAUCCCCUGCACACCCAUCAAGACGUUUUUAGCGCCAUCUAGCGGGCAACGGAGAAAUUACAACAACACGAAAAAGCAACAUGGCGACCACCAGGCGACUCGUGUCAAGGUUGGCGAUGGUGACAGGUGGCGGCAGCGGGAUUGGUCGCGCCGUGUGCCGGCGUUUGGCCUCCGAGGGCGCCUCGGUGGCGGUCGCUGACGUCGACGAGGCGUCGGCCAAUGAGACGCUGCGAAGCCUGCCAGGUGACCUCAUGGGUCAGGCCCACAUGGCGGCGGCGGCGGAUGUGGCGUCAAAAGAGAGCGUCAAGAACCUGCUUACAAGCAUCCAGGCUCGCUACUUCCAGCCGCCCUCGGUGUGCGUGAACGCAGCGGGCAUCACCCUGGACAACUUCCUGCUGGACAUGGAGGAGGAUGACUUUGACAGGGUGGUCCAGGUCAACCUGAAGGGCUCCUUUUUGGUCAUUCAGGCCGUCGCUCAGGCCCUGGUGGCCUGCGGAGCCUCCAAAGGAUCCAUCGUUACCGUGGGCAGCAUUGUGGGCAAAGUGGGAAACUUAGGGCAGGUCAAUUACGCCGCCUCAAAAGCCGGAGUGGAGGGUUUAACCAGGACGGCUGCCAAGGAGCUCAGUAGGUUUGGGAUCCGCUGUAACUGUGUGCUGCCGGGGUUUAUAGCAACGCCCAUGACGGACAAAGUGCCCGAGAGGGUGAUCGGCAAGUUCAGGGCGUACCCCGCCUCUCGACCCGAAGAUUGCUGGGAUAGGCUCCAGCACGCCCGCGACCCGAGUGAGGAGAAGCGGCACGGGAAAUGGAUGGAUGGAUGAUUUGCUUUGCCUACACUGCCACUCAGUGGCCGUUGGAAAGAAUGCAGUUUCGCCAAGUACAUUUUUUAAAAUCCCAAACAAAACGAGGUCAUUUAUUUAAAUGCAAAGUCAGAUAUCAAUCUGAGACUGAAUUUGUGUGUGUGAACUAAUGUUUUUAUUAAAUAAAUGCGCCGUAACGCUGCAUCUGGUUGUUGUUUUUCGUGUCAGAUGAAGUCUCUGAUACCACUGGGAAGGAUGGGCGAGGCAGCAGGUCACAAACUUUCACAAAUGUCUCCCUUUUUUGUUUUUGUUUUUGUUUUCUUUUUGCACCAUACAGUGGUACCUUGACUUGCAAGUUAAAUUUGUCCCGUGAAGAAGCUUCUAACUUAGUUUACUCAGCUAUCAAAUCAUUUUUUUUUUCCCCACUUGGAAGAAUUGAAAUGCCAUUAAUUCGAAACAGGUUUGUUUUUUAUAUAUAUAUAUAUAUAUAUUUUUUUUUUUUCUUUUCCAAAGUCAAUUGAGCAGUGACGUAUCUGAAGCUCACCGCUUACUAAAAUUUUGCCUUGCAACACAAAGCAAAAUAUCGACCAAGCGACGGUCUAGGUACGACUGUAUUGUGGUUGAACUUUGCGUUCCCGUUCGUGUGCGUGUGAUGUGCUCUGUCGUCCUACAGAAGUCGCUGACGUUUGCGCCUUCCUUGCCUCGGACGACGCCCGUUACGUCACGGGUGCCAGCCUGGAAGUCACGGGUGGACUUUUUAUGGGAUAAACCAGCAGCCUGCUGAACAAAUUUGUAUGCCUUAAAGCGCUGGUGUCAAACUCCACAAGUUUUUGUGGGCUAUUAAAGUAAAUAAAGUGUGUCUACUUUG